GACGAACGCUGGCGGCGUGCUUAACACAUGCAAGUCGAACGAUGAAGCCCAGCUUGCUGGGUGGUUUAGUGGCGAACGGGUGAGUAACACGUGAGCAACGUGCCCGAGACUCUGGAAUAACUACCGGAAACGGUGGCUAAUACUGGAUAUAUGCCAUGUAGGCAUCUCCUCUGGUUGGGAAGAUUUUUCGGUUUCGGAUCGGCGCACGGCCUAUCAGCUUGUUGGUGGGGUAAUGGCCUACCAAGGCGACGACGGGUAGCCGGCCUGAGAGGGUGACCGGCCACACUGGGACUGAGACACGGCCCAGACGCCUAUGGGAGGCAGCAGUGGGGAAUAUUGCACAAUGGGCGCAAGCCUGAUGCAGCAACGCCGCGUGAGGGAUGACGGCCUUCGGGUUGUAAACCUCUUUGAGUAGGGAAGAAGCGCAAGUGACGGUACCUGCAGAAAAAGCACCGGCUAACUACGUG
rnacentral:rRNA from 1 species